rnacentral:ribozyme from 1 species
UGUGUUGUGCGUGUGUGUUGUGCGUGUGUGUGGUGCGAGCGUAUACGUCGUGCGCCACCACACACGGGAUGAGGUCGUUCGUUGGCUUGCCGUUCACGUCGCGGAAGUUCCUGUGCGUUCACACGUGUC